AUGCUGUUGCCUCCCCUUGUCCUAACAGCCGUUUGUUAGGCUUAAUCUGAAUUGAGAAGCGUGGAUUGGGGAGGGGGGGGGAGGGGGGGUGCAAAGCCCAAAGCUA
rnacentral:miRNA from 1 species